AUGCACCACGUGUCCGCUGCGGUUCCUACGCAUCGCCCGUACCCACCUGACACCGCGCGCGACGUGGUGUUGGCC
rnacentral:sRNA from 2 species